AGCUCCUGAGGGCAAAGCCUGGGCCUCAUCCUCUUGUGGAUCCAGGAGAGCAGUCGCUGAAGAGAAAGAGGAAGAAAAGGAGUGGCUAGGAAAGAAAGUUUAUUUCCACUGCAGGAAGCACUGCCUCCCAUCUGAGAAAUGUCCCAAGCAGGAAUCAGUGCUGCGAUGAACUUAUGAGCGAAUGCGUCAAAAAGACCAAGUUGAACUUAUGAGCGAAUGCAUCAAAAAGACCAAGACUUGAUCCCUUGCCCACAAAGAUACAAGGCCGAGUACAAAGUCGUGAAGGAAAAGCCUCAUUGAAGAAGAGUAACCUAAGAGAAGCAGGUUCUGCUCUGAUGAACUCCCAUAAAGGCGUUCCCAUAAAGGUGUGAGCCUGAGUGAUAAUCUAGAUAUGGUACGGUUGACAUCAGGUAUAUGGCGGCAGCCAGAAAUUCAACUUUGUCCAUCAGCCUCUGCACAACAGGAAAGAUGGUGACCUUCCA
rnacentral:antisense_RNA from 1 species